UACGAAGGGGGCUAGCGUUGCUCGGAAUCACUGGGCGUAAAGGGUGCGUAGGCGGGUCUUAAGUCAGGGGUGAAAUCCUGGAGCUCAACUCCAGAACUGCCUUUGAUACUGAAGAUCUUGAGUUCGGGAGAGGUGAGUGGAACUGCGAGUGUAGAGGUGAAAUUCGUAGAUAUUCGCAAGAACACCAGUGGCGAAGGCGGCCAACUGGACCAUUACUGACGCUGAGGCGCGAAAGCGUGGGGAGCAAACAGGG
rnacentral:rRNA from 1 species